rnacentral:tRNA from 1 species
GAGGCCUUAGCUUAAUGAAAGUGUCUGUUUUGCAUACAGGAGAUGUGGGAUAAAGUCCCGCAGGUCUUA